AGUUCGAUUAUGGCUCAGAUUGAACGCUGGCGGGAUGCUUUACACACGUAAGUCGAACGGCAGCACGGACUCUGGUCUGGUGGCGAGUGGCGAACGGGUGAGUAAUGUAUCGGAACGUGCCUAGUAGCGGGGGAUAACUACGCGAAAGCGUAGCUAAUAAUGCGCGAUACCUUCGGGGAAAGCGGGGACUUCGGCCUCGCAACGCUAGAGCGGCCGAUAUCGGAUUAGCUAGUUGGUGGGGUAACGGCUCACCAAGGCGACGAUCCGUAGCUGGUUUGAGAGGACGACCAGCCACUGGGAUCAGACGCCUCAGACUCUACGAGGCAGCAGUGGGGAAUUUUGGACAAUGGGGAACCUCGAUCCAGCCAUCCGGGCGUGUGCGAUGAAGGCCUGGGUUGUAAAAGCACUUUUGGCAGGAAAGAAACGGCACGGGAUAAUACCGUGCAACUUUGAUUUUCAAAUUGCAGAAUAAGCACCGGCUAACUACGUGCCAGCAGCUGCGGUAAUACGUAGGGUGCAAGCGUUAACUGAAAUGACGGCGGCAAGCGUGCGCAGGCGGUCUGGAAGAAAGCAUGGAACCUGAGCUUAACUUUGGAACUGCAUUUUUAACUACCGAGCUAGAGUGUGUCAGAGGGAGGUGGAAUUCCGCGUGUAGCAGUGAAUGCGUAGAUACGCGGAGGAACAAUCGAUGGCGAAGGCAGCCUCCUGGGAUAACACGAUCGCCUGCGCACGAAAGCGUGGGGAGCAAACAGGAUUAGAUACCCUGGUAGUCCACGCCCUAAACGAGUCGUUCAGCUGUUGGGGCCUUCGGGCCUGGUAGCAGCUAACGCGUGAAGUUGACCGCCUGGGGAGUACGGUCGCAAGAUUAAAAACUCAAAGGAAUUGACGGGGACCUACGCGGUGGAUGAUGAUUGACUCGAUGCAACGCGAAAAACCUUACCUACCUGACAUGUCUGGAAUCCCGAAGAGAUUUGGGAGUGCUCGCAACCUGAACACAGGUGCUGCAUGAAUGUCAGCUCGUGUCGUGAGAUGUUGGGUUAAGUCUCAACGAGCGCAACCCUUGUCAUUAGUUGCUACGAAAGGGCACUCUAAUGAGACUGCCGGUGACAAACCGGAGGAAGGUGGGGAUGACGUCAAGUCCUCAUGGCCCUUAUGGGUAGGGCUUCACACGUCAUACAAUGGUCGGGACAGAGGGACGCCAACCCGCGAGGGGGAGCCAAUCCCAGAAACCCGAUCGUAGUCCGGAUCGCAGUCUGCAACUCGACUGCGUGAAGUCGGAAUUCGCCAUAAUCGCGGAUCAGCAUGUCGUGGUGAAUACGUUCCCGGGUCUUGUACACACCGCCCGUCACACCAUGGGAGUGGGUUUUACCAGAAGUAGUUAGCCUAACCGUAAGGAGGGCGAUUACCACGUAGGAUUCAUGACUGGGGUGAAGUCGUAACAAGGUA
rnacentral:rRNA from 1 species